AUUGAACGCUGGCGGCAGGCCUAACACAUGCAAGUCGAGCGAGCGGCGGACGGGUGAGUAAUGUAUGGGGACUGCCCGAUAGAGGGGGAUAACUACUGGCAACGGUAGCUAAUACCGCAUACUAUCGGAUAACCCAUAUGGGAUUAGCUAGUUGGUGAGGUAAUGGCUCACCAAGGCGACGAUCCCUAGCUGGUCUGAGAGGCUGAUCAGCCACACUGUGACGGAGACACGGCCCAGACUCCUACGGAGGCAGCAGUGGGGAAUAUUGCACACUGGGCGCACGCCUGAUGCAGCCAUGCCGAUCGUAUGAAGAAGGCUGUCUGGUUGUAAAGUUCUUUCGGUAGAGAGGCGUUAACUACAGAAGAAGCACCGGCUAACUCCGGGCCAGCCGCCGCGGUAAUAC
rnacentral:rRNA from 1 species